GCGGACAUAGCUCAGCUGGUAGAGCGUCGGCUUCCCAAGCCGAAUGUCGCGGGUCCGAAUCCCGUUGUCCGCUCCA
rnacentral:tRNA from 1 species